AGAUUGAACGCUGGCGGCAGGCCUAACACAUGCAAGUCGAGCGGCAGCACGGGUACUUGUACCUGGUGGCGAGCGGCGGACGGGUGAGUAAUGCCUAGGAAUCUGCCUGGUAGUGGGGGAUAACGCUCGGAAACGGACGCUAAUACCGCAUACGUCCUACGGGAGAAAGCAGGGGACCUUCGGGCCUUGCGCUAUCAGAUGAGCCUAGGUCGGAUUAGCUAGGUUGUGGGUAAUGGCUCACCAAGGCGACGAUCCGUAACUGGUCUGAGAGGAUGAUCAGUCACACUGGAACUGAGACACGGUCCAGACUCCGUACGGGAGCAGACAGUGGGGAAUAGUUGGACAAUGGGCGAAAGCCUAGACUCCGAGUCCCAUGCCCGUCGGUCGGUGUAGAAGGUAA
rnacentral:rRNA from 1 species